rnacentral:SRP_RNA from 1 species
GCCAGGCGUGGUGGCUCACGCCUGUAAUCCUAGCACUUGGGGAGGCCGAGGUGGGUGGAUCGCCUGAGGCCAGGAAUUCAAGACCAGCCUGGCCAACAUGGUGAAACCCCACCUCUA